GAUGAAGAACGCAGCGAAAUGCGAUAAAUAAUGUGAAUUGCAGAAUUCAGUGAAUCAUCGAGUCUUUGAACGCACAUUGCGCCCCCUGGUAUUCCGGGGGGCAUGCCUGUCCGAGCGUCAUUGCUGCCCUCAAGCACGGCUUGUGUGUUGGGCCCCCGUUCCCCCCUCCCGGGGGACGGGCCCGAAAGGCAGCGGCGGCACCGCGUCCGGUCCUCGAGCGUAUGGGGCUUUGUCACCCGCUCUGUAGGCCCGGCCGGCGCCUGCCGACCACCAUCAAUCUUUUUUCAGGUUGACCUCGGAUCAGGUAGGGAUACCCGCUGAACUUAAGCAUAUCAAUAAGCGGAGGA
rnacentral:misc_RNA from 1 species